GAUGAACGCUGGCGGCGUGCCUAAUACAUGCAAGUCGAGCGAACAGACGGGGAGCUUGCUCCUCUGACGUUAGCGGCGGACGGGUGAGUAACACGUGGAUAACCUACCUAUAAGACUGGGAUAACUUCGGGAAACCGGAGCUAAUACCGGAUAAUAUAUUGAACCGCAUGGUUCAAUAGUGAAAGACGGUUUUGCUGUCACUUAUAGAUGGAUCCGCGCCUCAUUAGCUAGUUGGUAAGGUAACGGCUUACCAAGGCAACGAUGCGUAGCCGACCUGAGAGGGUGAUCGGCCACACUGGAACUGAGACACGGUCCAGACUCCUACGGGAGGCAGCAGUAGGGAAUCUUCCGCAAUGGGCGAAAGCCUGACGGAGCAACGCCGCGUGAGUGAUGAAGGUCUUCGGAUCGUAAAACUCUGUUAUUAGGGAAGAACAAAUGUGUAAGUAACUAUGCACGUCUUGACGGUACCUAAUCAGAAAGCCACGGCUAACUACGUG
rnacentral:rRNA from 1 species